CGGUCCACCUCCCAGCCAGGAACUCAGUGGAUCAGAGCUGAGGCUUUUCCUUCUGGGAAGGUUCCAGAUGGGUCUAGACAGGUUCAGAGAGUGGCCCAGAAGCAGGAGAACGGAAAUUGAGCUUUGCCUUCCCAGGAUUCCCAGAGCUGCUGUUUAACUUUGAGGAGUUGACUGGGUUCCGCCCUGCCUCUUGCAAGUCUGAACUCCCAGAAUGAUUAACCACUCGGUGCGGAGUCCCAGCCUCUGCCAGAAUCCGACCUACCCACCCUGUGUGUUCCAGGCAGGAGCUUGCCACACUGGACAACAAGGAUGAUGAAAUUUUUGUCCACUUGGCAAAUAUUUGCUGAGCACCCCUCUGUGUCGGGGACAGCCGGACAAUUCCAACCUUGUCGAACCAGCUGCACGGGAAUGUGAGCUCACUCCUUGGAUCGUUGCCACGAGGGUUCAUGGCCCGAAGCCCCCGCCCCACACACAGUGGACUGAAUCAUGAAUCAAUGUACUGAUUUGGUCCUGGUGCUUGGAAUCAGUUCUGCACAAGGCCCCAGAAGGUCUGCCUUUCAGAUCCUUCUGGGCGGGGCCUCGGUCAUCUAGUCUGAGAAAGGGGAGCAAAUUCUAGGGGUGAUGUCAGAUACUGAUGAAUUCGAAGCGCCAGACAGGAACUGUACAGAUCAGCAACUUAACUGACACCACCUUCACAAAUGACCAGUUGACCUUACCAGCAACGGGAUGAACUGACACGUGUCCUCCUCAUCGGAGGCAUGAGGACACGGCUCUGCUUCUGGGGGUUCCUGCCCAAAAUGCACACAAUGAGUGUAAUCAUGAGGAAGUAUCAGACAAACCCAAACCGAGGGCAUUCUACAAAAUAAACAGUCCAUUCUCCUCAAAAAUGGGAGCCAAAGAAAGACUGAAGAACUGUUCCAGAUCAGAAGAGUAAAGAGCCAUGACAACGGAAUGCGUUAUUUGCUGGAUGGAUCCUAAAGGACUUUUCCCCUUCUUUUGCUUAUAAAGGACAUUAGCAAGACAAAUGGAGAUUUGAAGAAAUCUGCAGAUCAGUUAAUGGUAUUGUACCGAUGCUCCUUUCCUGACGUUGGUAAUUGCACUGUGGUUAUUUAAAA